rnacentral:rRNA from 1 species
AUGCAUCCACCUUUGCAAACCAAGUUAGCACUUAGCAGAGGCGCCGCUGCGGGCACAACAUGUGAUCAUUCCUUCCCGGGACCCUCUGGUUUAAGUUGGUACAGCCAGGAAUGCGUGUUGCGGGUCCAACCAAGGAGGCAGCCCCAGACCGCUUUACGCUCAGUCACAGGAGCCGCACGACGAACCAACCAACAGAUGUCAAAUGUGAGCAUGUUUUCCCGUAUGCCUUUCCAGCGGUCGUUGCUCGUUGGUGCACGUUCCGGGAACGAACUCGACGGCCGCAAGCGCGUGCGUGCGCGCGCGCGCAUUCUUCUUCCACGGCGACACGGCGAUCCUGCGUCGUCUAACCACAAAACGCCGCCGCAUCGAGAAGCAAAACGAGCCUCCCAAAUGGUUGAAAAACCAUACGAAAUCUUCCCCAUGGUAAAGGCAUGUGUAGAGUAG